rnacentral:rRNA from 1 species
GACGAACGCUGGCGGCGUGCUUAACACAUGCAAGUCGAACGGAAAGGCCCUGCUUUUGUGGGGUGCUCGAGUGGCGAACGGGUGAGUAACACGUGAGUAACCUGCCCUUGACUUUGGGAUAACUUCAGGAAACUGGGGCUAAUACCGGAUAGGAGCUCCUGCUGCAUGGUGGGGGUUGGAAAGUUUCGGCGGUUGGGGAUGGACUCGCGGCUUAUCAGCUUGUUGGUGGGGUAGUGGCUUACCAAGGCUUUGACGGGUAGCCGGCCUGAGAGGGUGACCGGCCACAUUGGGACUGAGAUACGGCCCAGACUCCUACGGGAGACAGCAGGGGGGAAUAUUGCACAAUGGGCGGAAGCCUGAUGCAGCAACGCCGCGUGCGGGAUGACGGCCUUCGGGUUGUAAACCGCUUUCGCCUGUGACGAAGCGGGAGUGACGGUAAUGGGUAAAGAAGCACCGGCUAACUACGUG